rnacentral:rRNA from 1 species
CAAUAGCGUAUAUUAAAGUUGUUGCAGUUAAAAAGCUCGUAGUUGGAUUUGUGGCGUACGGUGUGUUCCGGGCACUUGUUGUCUGAGUAACCUGCUGUUGCCAUCCUUGGGUGGAACCUGUGUGGCAUUAGGUUGUCGUGCAGGGGAUGCCCAUCAUUUACUGUGAAAAAAUUAGAGUGUUCAAAGCAGGCUUAUGCCGUUGAAUAUAUUAGCAUGGAAUAAUGAGAUAGGACUUUUUUGCUAUUUUGUUGGUUUGCGCAAAGAGGUAAUGAUUAAUAGGGACAGUUGGGGGUAUUCGUAUUCCAUUGUCAGAGGUGAAAUUCUUGGAUUUUUGGAAGACGAACUACUGCGAAAGCAUUUACCAAGGAUGUUUUCAUGAA